AUGGAUUCAGAGAGGACUCAUGGACACCCCGACAGACCCUGCCCUCGAGGGGCCUAGUCUGCACAAGGCAGCAAGCUAGGUGCCGUCCCCAGUGACCCAGAGUGUGAGGCUUGGAGAGCUCAUGGAAAGGGCCUUGCCUUAGAUCCCACAGCCAGAAAGCAGAGGCACCAGGAAUGAAAGGAGUUUCCAAGUCCAGCUGGCAGCCUUGUCCCUCCACACCAGGCUGCUCCAAGUGCCAAGGGAUGCCAGGAAGCUCAGUCCACCCGCGCCAGGUCCUGCCCAGGAGAACUGGGGGCCUGUGGUGGACCUACUGAAGGAAGACCCUGCCAUCGGAUAAUGUUUACCCAGGUGUCAAUCAGGAGAAGAAUUUGGCUUCCUAAUUUUCUCUUCUCCUCCCCGGGGGCCACGCGUCUCCCCGCCUCACAUGGACCACUGAGCUGGAAUCAAGGUUACUAAUAAUCCCCCGCACACACAGACACCGAGAGCACAUAUAUUAAAGUCACAUAUUGAUUUAUA